UCAUACGGGAGGCAGCAGUGGGGAAUAUUGCACAAUGGGGGAAACCCUGAUGCAGCCAUGCCGCGUGUGUGAAGAACGCCUUCGGGUUGUAAAGCACUUUCCGUUGUGAGGAAAAGUUAGUAGUUAAUACCUGCUAGCCGUGACGUUUACAACAGAAGAAGCACCGGCUAACUCCGUGCCACCAGCCGCGGUAAUACGGAGGGGGCGAGCGUUAAUCGGAAUUACUGGGCGUAAAGCGCACGCAGGCGGUUUGUUAAGCUCGAUGCGAAAGCCCCGGGCUCAACCUGGGAUGGUCAUUUAGAACUGGAAUACUAGAGUCUUGGAGAGGGGAGUGGAAUUCCAGGUGUAGCGGUGAAAUGCGUAGAUAUCUGGAGGAACAUCAGUGGGGAAGGCGACUCCCUGGCCAAAGACUGACGCUCAUGUGCGAAAGUGUGGGUAGCGAACAGGAUUAGAUACCCUGGUAGUCCACCCCCCAACGCUGUCCACUACCUGGGUGCGGCUUUAAAACGUGC
rnacentral:rRNA from 1 species